rnacentral:rRNA from 1 species
AGUGAACGCUGGCGGUAGGCCUAACACAUGCAAGUCGAACGGCAGCACAGUAAGAGCUUGCUCUUACGGGUGGCGAGUGGCGGACGGGUGAGGCAUACAUCGGAAUCUACUUUUUCGUGGGGGAUAACGUAGGGAAACUUACGCUAAUACCGCAUACGACCUACGGGUGAAAGCAGGGGAUCUUCGGACCUUGCGCGAUUGAAUGAGCCGAUGUCGGAUUAGCUAGUUGGCGGGGUAAAGGCCCACCAAGGCGACGAUCCGUAGCUGGUCUGAGAGGAUGAUCAGCCACGCUGGAACUGAGACACGGUCCAGACUCCUACGGGAGGCAGCAGUGGGGAAUAUUGGACAAUGGGCGCAAGCCUGAUCCAGCCAUACCGCGUGGGUGAAGAAGGCCUUCGGGUUGUAAAGCCCUUUUGUUGGGAAAGAAAAGCAGCAGGUUAAUACCCCGCUGUUCUGACGGUACCCAAAGAAUAAGCACCGGCUAACUUCGUG